rnacentral:rRNA from 1 species
GUCCACGCCCUAAACUAUGGAUACUCGACAUCAGCGAUACACAGUUGGUGUCUGAGCGAAAGCAUUAAGUAUCCCACCUGGGAAGUACGUCCGCAAGCAUGAAACUCAAAGGAAUUGGCGGGGUCGCACAAGCGGUGGAGCAUGUGGUUUAAUUCGAUGAUACGCGAGGAACCUUACCUGGGCUAGAAUGCAGAUCGACCGUGGGUGAAAGCUCAUUUUGUUAGCAAUACACGGUUUGUAAGGUGCUGCAUGGCUGUCGU